CAACUUGAGAGUUUGAUCCUGGCUCAGAACGAACGCUGGCGGCACGCCUAACACAUGCAAGUCGAACGAGAAGGUUUCUUCGGA
rnacentral:rRNA from 1 species